AGCUCCAAUAGCGUAUAUUUAAGUUGUUGCAGUUAAAAAGCUCGUAGUUGGAUUUCGGGUAGCCUUCAACGGUCUCGCUUCGCGUUUGUACUGUUGCAGACUGCCUUCUUGUCGGGGACGUGUCCACGGGCUUGAUUGCUUGGGACUCGGAGUCGACGAUGUUACUUUGAGUAAAUUAGAGUGUUCAAAGCAAGCCUACGCUCUGAAUAUAAUAGCAUGGGAUAACACGACAGGACUCUGGCCUAUCGUGUUGGUCUGUAGGACCAGAGUAAUGAUUAAGAGGGACAGUCGGGGGCAUUCGUAUUCUGUUGUCAGAGGUGAAAUUCUUGGAUUUACGGAAGACGAACAUCUGCGAAAGCAUUUGCCAAGGAUGUUUUCA
rnacentral:rRNA from 1 species